GACGAACGCUGGCGGCGUGCUUAACACAUGCAAGACGAACGGAAAGGCCCUUCGGGGUACUCGAGUGGCGAACGGGUGAGUAACACGUGGGUGAUCUGCCCUGCACUUUGGGAUAAGCCUGGGAAACUGGGUCUAAUACCGAAUAGGACCACGCGCUUCAUGGUGUGUGGUGGAAAGCUUUUGCGGUGUGGGAUGGGCCCGCGGCCUAUCAGCUUGUUGGUGGGGUAAUGGCCUACCAAGGCGACGACGGGUAGCCGGCCUGAGAGGGUGACCGGCCACACUGGGACUGAGAUACGGCCCAGACUCCUACGGGAGGCAGCAGUGGGGAAUAUUGCACAAUGGGCGCAAGCCUGAUGCAGCGACGCCGCGUGAGGGAUGACGGCCUUCGGGUUGUAAACCUCUUUCAAUAGGGACGAAGCGCAAGUGACGGUACCUAUAGAAGAAGCACCGGCCAACUACGUG
rnacentral:rRNA from 1 species